UACGUAGGGGGCUAGCGUUGUCCGGAAUCAUUGGGCGUAAAGAGCGUGUAGGCGGCCCGGUAAGUCCGCUGUAAAAGUCAAAGGCUCAACCUUUGAAUGUCAGUGGAUACUGCCGGGCUAGAGUCCGGAAGAGGCGAGUGGAACUCCUGGUGUAGCGGUGGAAUGCGCAGAUAUCAGGAAGAACACCAACGGCGAAGGCAGCUCGCGGGGACGGUACUGACGCUGAGACGCGAAAGCGUGGGGAGCGAACAGG
rnacentral:rRNA from 1 species